UACGGAGGGGGUUAGCGUUGUUCGGAAUGACUGGGCGUAAAGCGCGCGUAGGCGGAUCAGGAAGUUGGGGUGAAAUCCCGGGCUCAACCCCGGAAUGGCCUUCAAAACUCCUGGUCUUGAGUUCGAGAGAGGUGAGUGGAAUUCCGAGUGUAGAGGUGAAAUUCGUAGAUAUUCGGAAGAACACCAGUGGCGAAGGCGGCUCACUGGCCCGGUACUGACGCUGAGGUGCGAAAGCGUGGGGAGCAAACAGG
rnacentral:rRNA from 1 species